AUAAUGAUACUUCCGUUCCGUCAUAGCCCCCAGCAGGGGAACACGCAAUGAGAGCGGCCGGGUGAAAACCACGCGGGGGUGAGAUUCCCAUGU
rnacentral:ncRNA from 1 species